rnacentral:lncRNA from 1 species
UCAAACCAUACCUUAUAUGAAGGUACAAUGGAGCAACCAUAGUGAAAGAAAGGCUACUUGGGAGCUCAAAACUAAAAUGAGAGUCAAAUACCCAUCGCUCUUUGAAACUUCAGGUACAUUAAUUUUAAAGAUAAAAUUAUUUUAAGAGAAAAAAUAUAAUAAAUGGGACCCUUUAAUCACCACAAAAAAAAAUACCUCACAUGUGUGGUGUGCAUGAGGCAAA